GCUGGCGGCUUCCGGGAAACCAAAGUUUUUCGGUUCCAGGGGAAGUAUGGUUGCAAAGCUGAAACUUAAAGGAAUUGACGGAAGGGCACCACCAGGAGUGGAGCCUGCGGCUUAAUUUGACUCAACACGGGAAAACUCACCCGGUCCGGACACUGGAAGGAUUGACAGAUUAAGAGCUCUUUCUUGAUUCAGUGGGUGGUGGUGCAUGGCCGUUCUUAGUUGGUGGAGCGAUUUGUCUGGUUAAUUCCGAUAACGAACGAGACUCUAGCCUACUAAAUAGUGUUGGAUACCUUCGGUUAUCCGAACGCUUCUUAGAGGGACAAACGGCGUUUCAGCCGUAUGAAAAAGAGCAAUAACAGGUCUGUGAUGCCCUUAGAUGUCCGGGGCCGCACGCGCGCUACACUGAAAAAAUCAGCGUGCAUGUGUCUACCUACUCCGAAAGGAGCGGGAAACCGAGUGAAACUUUUUCGUGAUUGGGAUUGGGGAUUGUAAUUAUUGUCCAUGAACGAGGAAUUCCCAGUAAGCACAAGUCAUCAGCUUGUGUUGAUUACGUCCCUGCCCUUUGUACACACCGCCCGUCGCUACUACCGAUUGGAUGUUUUAGUGAGGUCUUUGGACUGGCCAACGUAGCUAUCCUCGUGGUGGCCAUGUUCGGCCGGGAAGAUGACCAAACUUGAACAUCUAG
rnacentral:rRNA from 1 species